GCGGUUGAAUGUAUUGGGAGAGAGCGAAAAUGUCGUCACCGAAGGAGCAAAUUCCAAAAAGACCCUUUGGAAUUAAUCUCUCAGGUAAAAGAACCAAUACAGGACGCAACUCUGGAGAGCGCAAAUUCAUUGCCACCAAAGGGGACCCGCUAUUUUUGCGGAUUAAACUUUCAGGUAAAAGGACAGAGAG
rfam:Bacillus sp. SA2-6 scf7180000001087, whole genome shotgun sequence.